GGACACAUGACAUGUGUGUCAUGUCAUGAUUCCCUUUUAUUCCAGAAGUUUGGUCCUUAAGGGGUUAAUUGCCCAGUAAACAUCAUAUUUAAUGUAAAUGAGUCAUUGUUCACCUGUUGAAAAAUGGACUAUAUGACAAGUAUUCCAGCAACAAAUCGUAUUCUCUCAUUUCCUGCAGAAACAUUCAAUAAACAUUAAUUGUACAGACAUUAACAUGACAAGGCAGGAC